rnacentral:miRNA from 1 species
GCAGACACAUUCCAGCCAAUCAGCAGCAGACCCUCCCUCCCAGACCCUCCCACCUCUUGGACAGCUCACUAAGAAUGCAGCUUCACAAUGAAUGUAAAAUGGAUGCUGUCCAGGAGGUGGGAGGGACUGGGAGGGAGGGUCUGCUGCUGAUGGGCUGGAAUGUGUCU